AUGCUUACAUUUCUACUACAAAAAGAAACCUUGACUCUUGAUUGUGAAUUAUAUUUGUGCAACCUUUUGCAAGAUAAAAUGCUUAUUUUUUGUUUCACUAUAACAUUUAGAAUUUUUGUGCUGACAUUUCCAUCUUUUCUAUGUAAAAAUCAGAUAUUUGUCUUCCUUCUGAAACAAAGGUUGCAUCUUUCUUGCAUUGGCACUCCCAAUCCUGCAUCUUUCAACAAGUUGUGUCAUUUGGGUGCCUUGGUGUUGCCGAGACGUACUGUAGGUUUUCUCAAGCUAAAUGUUGCAUAUGAAUUUUGA
rnacentral:rRNA from 1 species